UACGUAGGGGGCAAGCGUUGUCCGGAAUUAUUGGGCGUAAAGAGCUCGUAGGCGGUUCGUCGCGUCGAAUGUGAAAACCCGGGGCUCAACUCCGGGCCUGCAUUCGAUACGGGCGGACUAGAGUUCGGUAGGGGAGACUGGAAUUCCUGGUGUAGCGGUGAAAUGCGCAGAUAUCAGGAGGAACACCGGUGGCGAAGGCGGGUCUCUGGGCCGAUACUGACGCUGAGGAGCGAAAGCGUGGGGAGCGAACAGG
rnacentral:rRNA from 1 species